GGGGGCGGGGCUAGCAGGAGGGUGUGUGUGGGGCGGGAGCGGACAACGGAGACCAGACCUACUGCAGCCACGCGGGCGAGCGGCUGUGUGGAUGUCGGCGAAGCCGCGGGCGAGAUGUUUGAAGUGAGGCCAGGCAUGUUGGCUCACGCCUGUAAUCCCAGCACUUUCGGAGGCCAAGGUGGGAGAAUCACUUGAGGCUAGGAGUUGGAGACCAGCCUGGGCAACAUAGCAAGACUGCAUCUCUACAAAAAAAAAGAAAAGAUUCUUGAAGUGAAUGUAUACUCAUUUCCUGGUUGUUUCUUUCUGUAAGGAUGUCUGACCCAGCUAAUUUGUAAACAGGAAUUCUGCACUCAUUUCUGUUUUUGCAUUCUCAACCCCAGUUGGGCACACAAGUGUUUAAUGAGUAUUUAACUGAUUUGAUAAGAAUAAAUUCAUUGAUUUCUUUGA
rnacentral:lncRNA from 1 species